CAGUCGCCACGGUAAUGCGAAGAGUGCAAGCGUUACUCGGAAUUACUGGGCGUAAAGCGUGCGUAGGUGGUGGUUUAAGUCCGUUGUGAAAGCCCUGGGCUCAACCUGGGAAUUGCAGUGGAUACUGGGUCACUAGAGUGUGGUAGAGGAUAGUGGAAUUUCCGGUGUAGCAGUGAAAUGCGUAGAGAUCGGAAGGAACAUCUGUGGCGAAGGCGACUAUCUGGGCCAACACUGACACUGAGGCACGAGAGCGUGGGGAGCAAACAGGAUUAGAUACCCGUGUAGUCCCUGUCUCUUAUAC
rnacentral:rRNA from 1 species